GUGUUUGUAGUUCAACGGUUAGGAUAAUUUCCUUUCAAGCAAUUGACCCGUAUUCGACUCACUGCAACCGCA
rnacentral:tRNA from 1 species